GAGGCCCGGCCGGAGCCGGGGAAGUGGCGCGGAGGCUGCCGCCCCCCCCCGCGUUCUGACUAACGGACAAGAUAAAGUGGGAGGUAAAAGAGCUGUCAGGUGAUUCCCUCCCUCAAGCAUGUCUGCAAAGGCUGCUUCUUCUGGGCUAAAUGCAUGAAGCACAGAAGAAAAAUUGGAGUUCUGCCUCGAUUCCUACAAAGAGCUGGGAAAAAUGGGUUGUUUCUACCUUCUCUUAGUUAUGCACACAAACAGCUGAAUGUACUCAACUCCUGAGGAUCCACAGAGGGAGCACUCAACCUAUCUAUCACACCCCAUAGGUCUCUGGACAAUGACCUCUGAGCCCACACUGCCCACUUAAGACCAAUGCUGUUUUUAGCUGUACAACUCCCAGCUGUAAACCCAAUGGGUGACAUUAUACUUGACUUUUAGCCCUCCAGUGCUGCUUGGAGUUGUUGGAGCAACAGCAUCAUGAAUGACAAUUGCUCUGGAAGCAAUUAUCUGAAAUGAACCCAGACCUUUUGAAUAAAGCUUUCUAAGACAACUUGCCUUGUGAUCACCAAGUAUAUUUUGGACCACGUGUUUUUCAAGAUCUCAUCUUUUAAUAUGAAAGCUUCACAGCUAGCUGAAGCACAAGCCAUCAGAUCAUAACCCUUUAAUCUCUAAAAUGCCACACAAACAUUUGUUCUCCAAAAGAGAAUAAAAACAUUUAAGCUCCAAAGAUCUACAGAUAAUU